rnacentral:rRNA from 1 species
AACGAACGCUGGCGGCGUGCCUAACACAUGCAAGUCGCGCGGGAAAGUUCCCUUCGGGGAGCGAGUAUAGCGGCGCACGGGUGAGUAAUACGUAGGUAACCUGCCCUCGAGACUGGGACAACCUGUCGAAAGACGGGCUAAUACCGGAUAAGACCACGAGAGCUGCGGCUCUUGGGGUAAAAGGUGGCCUCUGCUUGCAAGCUAUCACUUGAGGAUGGGCCUGCGCGCCAUUAGCUAGUUGGUGAGGUAACGGCUCACCAAGGCAGAGAUGGCUAGCUGGUCUGAGAGGAUGACCAGCCACACUGGGACUGAGACACGGCCCAGACUCCUACGGGAGGCAGCAGUGGGGAAUAUUGCGCAAUGGGCGAAAGCCUGACGCAGCGACGCCGCGUGGGUGAUGAA